rnacentral:rRNA from 1 species
AUUGAACGCUGGCGGCGUGCUUAACACAUGCAAGUCGAUCGGUAACGCGGGGGCAACCCUGGCGACGAGAGGCGGACGGGUGAGGAACGCUUGGGAACCUGCCCUUCAGCGGGGGACAACCCGGGGAAACCCGGGCUAAUACCGCAUACGCUCCACGGAGGAAAGCCGGGGACCGCAAGGCCUGGCGCUGAAGGAGGAGCCCAAGUCGGAUUAGCGAGUUGGCGGGGUAACGGCCCACAAAGGCGACGAUCCGUAGCGGGUCUGAGAGGACGAUCAGCCACACCGGAACUGAGACACGGUCCGGACUCCUACGGGAGGCAGCAGUGGGGAAUAUUGGACAAUGGGGGAAACCCUGAUCCAGCGACGCCGCGUGGGUGAAGAAGGCCUGCGGGUUGUAAAGCCCUUUCGGUAGGGACGAAAGCUCUUGCCCUAACACGGCAGGAGGUUGACUUAACCUACAUAAGAAGCACCGGCUAACUCUGUGCCAGCAGCCGCCGUAACAC